rnacentral:rRNA from 1 species
UACGACUACAUAUCAGGCAUAUCAAUAAGCGGAGGAAAAGAAACUAACUAAGGAUUCCCUCAGUAACGGCGAGUGAAGCGGGAAGAGCUCAAAUUUGAAAUCUUCAAGGUUUUACCUUGACGAAUUGUAGUUUAAAGAAGUGUUUUCUGUUGAAGUUUUGGUAAAAGUUCUUUGGAAUAGGACAUCAUAGAGGGUGAGAAUCCCGUAUUUGACCAUUAUUUCCAGCUGUGUGAUACACUUUCAAAGAGUCGGAUUGUUUGGGAAUGCAGUCCAAAAUGGGUGGUAAAUUUCAUCUAAAGCUAAAUAUUGGCGAGAGACCGAUAGCGAACAAGUACCGUGAGGGAAAGAUGAAAAGAACUUUGAAAAGAGAGUUAAACAGUACGUGAAAUUGUCAAAAGGGAAGCGUUUGACACCAGUGUUGUUUUCUCGAAAAUCAAUUAAAAAUAGUUGGAUUUUGUGUUGUAUUGACCUUAACAGCUUGCUUCACUCUUUUCCAGCUUUUUUUAAUGCACCUUUUCGUUUAACAAGUCAACAUCAGUUUCUUUUGUUGUAAAAGGGUCAUUGGAAGGUGGCUUUCUCUUCGGAGAAAGUGUUUAUAGCCUUUGAUCUCUGCAAUCGGAGAGACUGAGGUCUGCAGCGUAGAUCCUUCGGGGUUAGAUACAUUUGUGCUAAGCUACAGCUUUUCAUAGACAACUUGUUGACUAUGUUUAGUCUUGUGACUUACCCGCUUAUGCUAUUUUACCUACGCUUAGGAUGUUGAGCGCAUGUCUCUCUCU